rnacentral:rRNA from 1 species
GAUGAACGCUGGCGGCGUGCCUAAUACAUGCAAGUCGAGCGAACGGACGAGAAGCUUGCUUCUCUGAUGUUAGCGGCGGACGGGUGAGUAACACGUGGAUAACCUACCUAUAAGACUGGGAUAACUUCGGGAAACCGGAGCUAAUACCGGAUAAUAUUUUGAACCGCAUGGUUCAAAAGUGAAAGACGGUCUUGCUGUCACUUAUAGAUGGAUCCGCGCUGCAUUAGCUAGUUGGUAAGGUAACGGCUUACCAAGGCAACGAUGCAUAGCCGACCUGAGAGGGUGAUCGGCCACACUGGAACUGAGACACGGUCCAGACUCCUACGGGAGGCAGCAGUAGGGAAUCUUCCGCAAUGGGCGAAAGCCUGACGGAGCAACGCCGCGUGAGUGAUGAAGGUCUUCGGAUCGUAAAACUCUGUUAUUAGGGAAGAACAUAUGUGUAAGUAACUGUGCACAUCUUGACGGUACCUAAUCAGAAAGCCACGGCCAACUACGUGCCAGCAGCCGCGGUAAUACGUAGGUGGCAAGCGUUAUCCGGAAUUAUUGGGCGUAAAGCGCGCGUAGGCGGUUUUUUAAGUCUGAUGUGAAAGCCCACGGCUCAACCGUGGAGGGUCAUUGGAAACUGGAAAACUUGAGUGCAGAAGAGGAAAGUGGAAUUCCAUGUGUAGCGGUGAAAUGCGCAGAGAUAUGGAGGAACACCAGUGGCGAAGGCGACUUUCUGGUCUGUAACUGACGCUGAUGUGCGAAAGCGUGGGGAUCAAACAGGAUUAGAUACCCUGGUAGUCCACGCCGUAAACGAUGAGUGCUAAGUGUUAGGGGGUUUCCGCCCCUUAGUGCUGCAGCUAACGCAUUAAGCACUCCGCCUGGGGAGUACGACCGCAAGGUUGAAACUCAAAGGAAUUGACGGGGACCCGCACAAGCGGUGGAGCAUGUGGUUUAAUUCGAAGCAACGCGAAGAACCUUACCAAAUCUUGACAUCCUUUGACAACUCUAGAGAUAGAGCCUUCCCCUUCGGGGGACAAAGUGACAGGUGGUGCAUGGUUGUCGUCAGCUCGUGUCGUGAGAUGUUGGGUUAAGUCCCGCAACGAGCGCAACCCUUAAGCUUAGUUGCCAUCAUUAAGUUGGGCACUCUAAGUUGACUGCCGGUGACAAACCGGAGGAAGGUGGGGAUGACGUCAAAUCAUCAUGCCCCUUAUGAUUUGGGCUACACACGUGCUACAAUGGACAAUACAAAGGGCAGCGAAACCGCGAGGUCAAGCAAAUCCCAUAAAGUUGUUCUCAGUUCGGAUUGUAGUCUGCAACUCGACUACAUGAAGCUGGAAUCGCUAGUAAUCGUAGAUCAGCAUGCUACGGUGAAUACGUUCCCGGGUCU